GACGUAGGGGGCCAGCGUUGUUCGGAAUUACUGGGUGUAAAGGGUUCGUAGGCGGCUUUGUAAGUCGGGGGUGAAAGCCUGUGGCUCAACCACAGAAUUGCCUUCGAUACUGCAUGGCUUGAGACCGGAAGAGGUUAGUGGAACUGCGAGUGUAGAGGUGAAAUUCGUAGAUAUUCGCAAGAACACCAGUGGCGAAGGCGGCUGACUGGUCCGGAUCUGACGCUGAGGCGCGAAAGCGUGGGGAGCAAACAGG
rnacentral:rRNA from 1 species